GAGCCUAAAGAGAUGUCUUUCUAUGGUCUGUUGGCCAUUUAAGAACUUGGGCAGUGAAAUGGUCAAUUCAUUAGAAAAAAACAGCU
rnacentral:snoRNA from 1 species